UUGUAGACAGAGCCGUGUGUCUAAGUUGAAGCCAGGGGCAUGUAAGUAGAGGUAUCAUAUAUAAUGUCCAGAAAGAUAAGCUGUGUAGAGUGUGGGCAUAAUGGCCGGAUCCUAAGGAGCCAUUUCAGACCAUGAGGCAGAAGCCACAUGGAGGAGGAUGGCAGAGCAAGAGGAUGGAAGGAGCUUGACUUCCUAAUGACGAUGGAAUUUACUGUGAUUUUCAGCUGAGUCUAAUUAACUAAAGCAACUAAAAGUUUGUCAAGAAGACUGAAAACCAUUUUGGUCAAGAAAACCCUGUGAGGCACAAGUGUCACCGAGAGUGUACAAUUUAUGCAGUGCACUGACUCAUCAGUAGGACUGGCCGGUGUGCGGGUGCCACCCCGAAGACCGCAGGGCUUUGAGAAACAGGAAGGAACUCAGCAGAGGUUCAGAACGUCCUAACCACCGAUUUCAGAAAUCACAUUCAGGACUUUCAUGCUGAAUGCCAUUAAGCCUGUGGUGUUUGGAACUGUCUGCUCAUCCUGACUUGGAAGCAAGUUUAUUUAUUCAGCAUAAAAGGAAGUAUUUGAACUCACAGAGUGUGAUUCUCUGCAACUUUUGAAAGUGGCAAGACUGGAUGGGCAACUUUUAGGACAAUUAGACAUAUUUCUCUGUUCUGAAUACCAACUUGCUACCUUAACCAGACAAUCAUAGCUGGGUAGAAGUUCAAUGUGAAAAAGGACAUGAGUUUUAAUAAAUACGGGUAAUAUAUUUAGAUGAUA